rnacentral:rRNA from 1 species
CAGCAGCCGCGGUAAAACGGAGGGAGCUAGCGUUGUUCGGAAUUACUGGGCGUAAAGCGCACGUAGGCGGCUUUGUAAGUUAGAGGUGAAAGCCUGGAGCUCAACUCCAGAAUUGCCUUUAAGACUGCAUCGCUUGAAUCCGGGAGAGGUGAGUGGAAUUCCGAGUGUAGAGGUGAAAUUCGUAGAUAUUCGGAAGAACACCAGUGGCGAAGGCGGCUCACUGGACCGGCAUUGACGCUGAGGUGCGAAAGCGUGGGGAGCAAACAGGAUUAGAUACCCCAGUAGUCCCUGUCUCUUAUAC